AUCCCUCACGGGCGGGCUGAGGAAGGGGAGCGGGGCCGCCCUCGUCCUUCAUCCUCCACCGCCCCAGGCCCCGCAGGCGCGGUGCUCUUCCCGAGGGAAGGCCCCUUCCCCGCGGGCUCUGAGGCGUUAUCGCGGAGCGACAGCUGCGGCGUGAGGGGAGACUCCCCCGCCCCGCCCCGGGGCCCGGCGGGCAGAUAGCCCCUCUGGUGAGCGCUCCCUCCAGAAGGGAUGGGUCUGGCAGUAGCCGGUGAGAGAGAUACAGGUUGGUUUCUUUCCUGUGGUGGAAUGUGUCCACGCAAAGGGAGUAAAGCAGGCGGCGUUCUGAAUUACAGCUCCUGUCCCUGGAACCGCUGUCCUGGCAUAUUGCCCUCUAAAGAAGAGGGAAUAAGCUCUGUUACAGUAAGAGUUUUUACACUCGGCACGGGCUACUACUACCUGAAAUCACAGGCUUCAUCUUCUGAUACUGCAGACUGGCUCGUCUAGGACAGUAGAAGUAACAUCGUCUCAUUCAAAGAGUGGGUUUCUAGGUAUGGAUUCUUGAAAAUACGUAAGAAAUGGACACAAAAAUGGAAUAUGAAGGGAUAGAAAAAGGGGAAAAUAGUUUAAGAUUUUUUUAAAAAAAGGAGAAAAUCCUAUUAAAGUAUGUAUUGGGGAAUUCAUCUGGGAGUUACCCUCAUACCUGGUCUGAAUUUAUCCCCUUAUCUUUGGUGCCAUGCCUCCUUUUUUCCUUAGGGAAGAAAAAGCCAGAAGCACGCUCUUUUCAAGAUACUAUACCCAUUAAAAAUACUAAUGUGUGAUUCAAACAGAGUAAAAGGCAAAGACUAGGAAAACACCCCAGUUGUUGACCACUAAACUUCUUUAGCUGACUUUCCUUCAGCUGACUCAGAUUCUUCUUUUCCUUUCUUGAAAUGUUAGCAGUACUGAUGAGUUCAACGCUUGUUGCUUUUCAGUCAGUCCAGAACUGCUUGAUUCUAUGAACGUGGCUAUUUUAAAGUAUUCUGGGAUCUGUGUUAUUUAAUAAUAUUUAGCAGUAAUAACAUGAAGAUCAGCAUCAUCCUACUAAGGUACCUUGACAGCAUCCCUCUUACCUUGCUGAGGGACUUGCAUGCGCUACCUCAGGAGCACUGCUGUGCCAUCUUGGAUGUCUUCUUCCUGGAAGCAUUGUCAUUCUGUCACAACACUGAAAUAAUUUCCAAUUGAUAGAUAUACUGGAGACUGGACAAGAAGCAAGAACCACAAAUCCAGAAGUUCUACCUAGCAAGGCCUGUGUCCACCUGAACACUGCUCUGCCUUCACCUGUUUUUUCAAUUCAGAGGACUUUGGGAGUGGGAUGUGGAAAAGCUCAUCUGCCAAUACUGUUCUCUGAACAUCUUUCACAUGGACUGGACUUGUCAGCAAAUAAUCUACCUCAAAUUGUAAUAAUGUACAUUACUGUAUUGGAAGAAGGCAUAGCCUGAUAAAGCUAGGCGAGAAGAUAGAA